AGAAAUGCGUGUAUUACAUUGAGAGAAGUAUUACAUGGAGCGAUUUCUUAUAAGAAGUUCCAGGAACUCCGCCUCUGUGACGGCAGAGAUAUUGGUGUUUCUUAGAUCACAGCUUCAAAACUAAGAUAUAUACCUACAGGUACAGACAGUUUCACAAAAGUGAGUACACCCCUCACAUUUUUGUAAAUAUUUGAUUAUAUUUUGAUUUAUAUCUUUGAUUAGACAUUAAUGGCUGUGUGUUGAGUUAUUUUGAGGGGACAGCAAAUUUACACUGUUACACAAGCUGUACACUCACUACUUUACAUUGCAGCAAAGUGUCAUUUCUUCAGUGUUGUCACAUGAAAAGAUAUAAUCAAAUAUUUACAAAAAUGUGAGGGGUGUACUCACUUUUGUGAGAUACUGUAUAUAUACAGAGAGAGAUAUAAUAACGGUAAAAAUAUUUGCUAACGGAAUGAGUCCAGUUCGAGCAAUAAAUAAUUAAAGAAAGUACUUAUUAAGAAGCACAAGUUAUUAUGAAGUUUCAUGCCCCAUUGACUCAUUCCAUCAUAUCAGCGGUACAUGAUACAUUUGUCAAAUUUAACACACAAGUAAAUGUUACUGAGAUUAAAAAAAAAUAAUUUAAAAAAUAUAUAUAAAAAAAAAAAGCAGGGAAAAGAAAACUGUAAGCCCUACCAAAUUGCUGUAUGUGGACUCGCACGCACAGUGUGCUAAAUUGCAGAAAGCCGAUCCCGACCUGGACUCCGCCCCACCGCGACGCCCACAGCCAGUAAGGCAGGAGGAAUCUGCAGUUUUAGGGACACCUCCUCACAAUGAAGCGGCCCAGCCUACGCCACUCUCCGAACCUGUCAGAACUGAGCCACCAACCCCCACCGAACUAUUCUCCAGCCAUCCUAGCUUCACCAGUGGCGCUACACACGAGAGCGCAAGUGAAGGGACUAACAACAUUGUUGCCUGAGUGCUUCAGACCAACAAAAUCGGACAGAGAAGGGACAAUGCACGCCGCGGUAAAUGCCCCAAUGCCAGAAGUGGCCAGAGAAGGAGUCCCUAUGCUAGUUCACAGACCCUGGACAUUGGAAGACAUCAAGAGCAGCGUAACGCAUCUGCCGGCACUCCGCAAAGUAGGAGGACGAAAAAUUGGGGAUGAACUUCAGAUAUUCUGCAGAGAAUUCAGACCCACCACUCAUGAACUACGACGACUGUUCAUGGCAAAACGUGGCACGGACUGGGUCAAGGUUUCACGUGAAUUUCCAGAGGAUGAUGUCCGCCUGAUCAACCCACAGUGGUAUGAGCUUCCAGUUCAUGGCAGGCCUGUGCCUUGGUGGUUCCUUGGUUUUCCUGACCAUCCGAACCAAGUUCCUCUCAGUUAAGGGUGACCGUUUGGGUCUUCUUCCAGACCUUGGCAAAGUGGCUACAUUUCCCAAUAACAUGUACAAUUGUUUGAACUGAUGAACUUGGAAUCUGCAAUUGUUUAGAAAUUGCUCCAAGAGACAUUCCUGUCUUGUGUAAAUUUAGCUUCCUCUUUUUCAGAUCUGCACUGUGCUCCUUGGACUUUCCCAUAGUACUGUGUGUUGGUCAAUCCUAUGAGUGCUGUUAAACAAGCCCUUUUUAUGUUGUCACAGAGAAGCUGCCAGCUGUAGUCAAUCAUGAUCACUAACAGGAAAUUAAGAGUCCUUGAUCUUGGCAAGUUAAAGGAUAUUUUGGAGCUUGCAGCACCAUUGAAUUAAUAAUCUAAGUGUUUGUAUGUAUAUUUUUGACCUGUAUGUAUAAUUUUGGUCCUGUGUUGAUUACAGAUGUAUGCUGUACAAUCAUUCUGCUUCAGAAAAAGAAAAGCCC
ensembl:lncRNA